rnacentral:rRNA from 1 species
CAUGGCUCAGGAUGAACGCUAGCUACAGGCUUAACACAUGCAAGUCGAGGGGAAACGACAUCGAAAGCUUGCUUUUGAUGGGCGUCGACCGGCGCACGGGUGAGUAACGCGUAUCCAACCUGCCCACCACUUGGGGAUAACCUUGCGAAAGUAAGACUAAUACCCAAUGACGUCCAUAGAAGACAUCUGAAGUGGAUUAAAGAUUUAUCGGUGAUGGAUGGGGAUGCGUCUGAUUAGCUUGUUGGCGGGGUAACGGCCCACCAAGGCGACGAUCAGUAGGGGUUCUGAGAGGAAGGUCCCCCACAUUGGAACUGAGACACGGUCCAAACUCCUACGGGAGGCAGCAGUGAGGAAUAUUGGUCAAUGGGCGAGAGCCUGAACCAGCCAAGUAGCGUGCAGGAUGACGGCCCUAUGGGUUGUAAACUGCUUUUAUAAGGGAAUAAAGUGGAGGUCGUGACCUCUUUUGCAUGUACCUUAUGAAUAAGGACCGGCUAAUUCCGUG